UACGUAGGGUCCAAGCGUUAUCCGGAUUUACUGGGUGUAAAGGGCGAGUAGACGGUGUUGCAAGUCAGGUGUGAAAACUUAGGGCUUAACUUUAAGACUGCAUCUGAAACUGUAAUACUAGAGUGCAGAAGAGGUAAGUGGAAUUCCUAGUGUAGCGGUGAAAUGCGUAGAUAUUAGGAGGAACACCAGUGGCGAAGGCGACUUACUGGGCUGUAACUGACGUUGAGGAGCGAAAGUGUGGGGAGCAAACAGG
rnacentral:rRNA from 1 species